rnacentral:rRNA from 1 species
AUGGGGGCUUCUCAGCUUCUAGAACUCCUACCCCAACAAUGGCAGCUUGUGCUAGUCAUUCUCCCACUCGUCUCCCUCCUCCUCCUGCACAGGAGCCGGAACAGUUCCAGCGGCACUAGGCUGCCACCAGGGCCCUGGAAGCUGCCCAUCGUCGGCAACCUGCAUCAGAUCGGCCCGCUGCCCCACCGGAGCCUGCUGACGCUCGCAAGGCGGCACGGGCCGGUGAUGAUGAUGCGGCUGGGCACGGUUCCGACGGUGGUGCUGUCCUCACCGGAGGCCGCACGCGAGGCUCUCAAGACUCACGACGCAGACUGCUGCGGCCGGUCCCCCUCGGCCGGGCCGCGGCUGCUGUCCUACGGCUACAAGGACGUCAUCUUCUCCCCCUAUGGCGACUACGUCCGCGAGAUGCGCAAGCUCUUCAUCCUCGAGCUGCUCAGCCGCCGCCACGUGCAGGCUGCUUGUUAUGCUCGCGAUGCCCAGGCGGAAAAGCUGGUGAAGAACCUCACCAGUAUUGGGCCAAAACCGGUGCCGGUUGCGGACCACAUCUCCGCCACGGUGGACGGGAUUUUUGGCUCAUUUGCUUUUGGGGGAAACCACGCGGCAGAGCAGUUCAAGGGACAGUUGGUCCCCAUGAUGAACGAGGGCGUGGACAUGCUGAGUAGCUUCUCUGCCGAGGACUUCUUCGCCAACGCUGCUGGCAGCCUCUUUGACCAUGUUACGGGCAUCAAGGCCCGCCGACAGAGGAUCUUUAAGAAGCUCGAUGGAUUCUUUGAACAGGUCAUCGAGCAUUACGCGAAUGAAGACCCCACCAGGAAAAAACUUGACGACAAUUGCAGAUCAGCACUCGUGGAAGAGCUUAUCGACCUCUGGAAGAAGCGCAAUAAGAUCACUAAGGACCAUGUCAAGGCUAUCCUCAUGGACACUUUCGUCGCUGGCAAUGAUACUAGUGCAAUAACAAUAAACUGGGCAAUGGCGGAGCUAAUUCGGCACCCAAGGGUGCUCAAGAAGGUACAAGAAGAAAUCAGAACUGCGGUAGGGAGGAAAGAGAGAGUGCAAAGCGAAGACAUGUCCAAGCUAACCUACUUAAGAAUGGUUGUCAAGGAGACCCUACGGCUACGUAUCCCGGCGGCUUUGCUGGUUCCAAGGGAGACCUUACGGAAGAUUCAGAUUGCAGGAUACGACAUCCCAGCCAAGACAAGGGUUAUUGUAAAUGCAUGGGCUAUUGCCAGGGAUCCCAAUGUCUGGAAGGAUCCGGAGGAGUUUUACCCUGAACGUUUUGAGGACACGGAUAUAGACUUCAAUGGGGCACAUUUCGAGCUAUUGCCGUUUGGCUCGGGACGGCGCAUCUGCCCAGGAAUGGACAUGGGUGUGGCCAACGUGGAAUUCAUCCUGGCCAACAUAUUGUACUGCUUCAACUGGGAGCUUCCACCUGGAAUGAAUAUUGAGGAUCUAAGCAUGGAGGAGGAAGGGGCUCUGACCAUUCGAAAGAAGACUCCACUCAUGUUGGUGCUGACAAGGUACACUGCAUAUCAGUGA